CAGGCCUAACACAUGCAAGUCGGAUGUGCCCGCAAGGGUGCAUGGCAGACGGGUGAGUAACGCGUGGGGAACCUACCUCUUUGUGGGGAAUAACGUUCCGAAAGGAAUGGUAAUACCGCAUGAGACCGUUGGCUGGGAUGCUGACGGUGAAACCCGGGGACCGCAAGGCCUGGGGCAAGGAGAGGGUCCUGCGUCUGAUUAGCUAGUUGGCGGGGUAACGGCCCACCAAGGCGUCGA
rnacentral:rRNA from 1 species